rnacentral:misc_RNA from 1 species
AUGAAAUGUUUGUCGAGAAGGGUUGUAGCUGGCCUCCAGGGGCAUGUGCACGCUCCGAUCGCAUCCACCCUCCCACACCUGUGCACCACCUGUAGCUUGGGAUGAUCACGGAGCCCUGAUGGGCGACGAAUGCCCUCGUCUAUGAAUAUCUCACACACUCGAAGUAUGACAGAAUGUACAUCAUAUUGCGUCUGAUAAACGCGACAAAUA